GGAAUUAAAAGUCGUAACAAGGUUUCCGUAGGUGAACCUGCGGAAGGAUCAUUAUUGUAUAACCGAGGUGCGAGGGCUGUCGCUGACCCGAAAGGUCGUGCACGCCCGAGUGCCCUCACACACAUCCAUCUCACCCCUAUGUGCACCACCGCGUGGGUCCCCCCUUGGCUUGUUCGGAGGGGGGCUUACGUUUUCACACAAACUUUGUAUGCAGUGUAGAAUGUAUUUUUUGUUUUUGCGAUCACGCAAUCAAUACAACUUUCAACAACGGAUCUCUUGGCUCUC
rnacentral:misc_RNA from 1 species